UGAACCCAACCAUCGUUAUCGCUUUCCUGACACCACCCGGACCCUUCCCUCGCCGUCCUGUCGGGCUCGCCGCGCCGCCGUUGCCCUUCAUCUAGGCGCUAUCCGCGCAGGGGAAGAGGACCCUCCUGAACGGAAUCCCGUCCCAAUGGCGUGGGGCGUACCCCCGCGGUCGCCGUCGUCGCGCGUGCAGGCCCUCUACGAGCUCUGCAAGCGUACCUUCCCCUCCCCUUCCGACGCCGCUGCCUCGUCCUGGCCCCCUCCCGCCCACGCCAUCCGCACCAUCUCCUCUCUCAUGGAUACAAUCACUCCUGCGGAUGUUGGACUCAGAGAUGAUAAUCUUGAGGACGACAAGGGGCAUGGGUUCUUUGAGUCCAACUUCCUGAAGGGUUCAGCAAGGGUGGCUCGAUGGGCGCAGCCUAUCACGUAUCUACAUAUCUACGAGUGCGAUGCUUUCUCUAUUGGAAUAUUCUGCUUACCAACUUCAGCCAUCAUUCCUCUUCAUGAUCAUCCAGGAAUGACUGUAUUGAGCAAAAUCCUUUAUGGUUCUAUGCAUGUAAAAUCAUAUGAUUGGAUAGAGCCUACUGUGCUAGCAAGCAGCCAGCCAGCAAGACUGGCCAAGUUACAUACGGAUGAUGUUCGGACCGCCCCAUGUCCAACCUCUGUUUUGUAUCCCCAAAGCGGUGGGAACCUACAUUGCUUCACUUCAGUAGCUUCUUGUGCUGUUCUUGAUGUCCUUUCCCCACCAUAUUCCGAAGAUGCUGGUCGGAUUUGCACAUAUUUUCAUGAUUAUCCAUUUUCUAGCCUCUGUAAGUAAAACUUCUCAUUGUCAUCAUAUUACAUGUUUGUUCUUAUAAAACAUUCAUUGUUAUGGGUUUGGGGCUUUGGGCUGAAUUGGAGCAUAGGAUGUAGGAGUUGUGGACAGCAGACCAUGGUCCAGGGACUCAGAGUCGGGCCUGUCAUGGUGAAGGUGGUGACUAAUGAUCUUGAACUAAAAGAUAGAAUCCAAAUCUUUUGAAGGAUCUAAUAUCUUGUUCAGCUAACUUAACAGGCAAAGCAACAUUGCUACCACCCCCUAGGGUUUGGUUGGUGGUGGCUGCUGCUGUUGCCAUGGGCACCUGGCAUAAUGCUAGACCCACAUGACACUCACUCUAUUUAUUUGGUGGAAGCAACAUAUCAACCAUCUUAGAUAUUUGUAUUUUUGAAAUGGGUAUAUUGGUCCUGGAAAUAACAAUUUGCACACGUCUGCUUUAUGAGGUGGGAACCAUGAUUCCGGAGGACAAUGAGCUAUUUGUUUUGCACUUUUGCUUAUUCCCAGUUGAUUUUUAUGAAUUAAUUGGAUUGGAUUUCUGGUUGAUUGAUUUGGUCAUACUCGUGCCCAAGAGAUUAUUGGUGUUGGUGUAAGAUUACUCUUGGUUUGCUAGGAGUGAGGCAUGUUUCUGAUAUAUAGAAUCUGAUAUAUAGAAGUAAAGGUCAUACAUACAGCAGGACAGAAGCAUCUAAUUAGAUCCAUUAAAAAAAGCAUCUAAUUAGUAGAACUCACUACAAAUCAGAGACUGGAGGCAGCAAAUACCAGCAUGGUGGCUUAUGUAAACCAGUCAAUUAGUGGAAUAGUAAUUGUUUUCGGAGAAUUUCUGAAGUCCUAUGUGCUACAGUGCAAUGAAACAUGGUGAAACAUUGCUCUCGCAUUCUGUAGGAGCCCCUUUAACAAAUUCAGCAGCCUACAAUUUUCAAAAGUGGCCCUCAUUGCCUAUGAAAGCUUUGGAGGGAGAUAUAUCUGCAGGACCACCUAUUGCCCUCUGAUGCAACGCAGGAUUGCCAGUGGUGAGAGGUCUGCCCUCAUGCCAAUUGCCAAGCAUGGCAUACCUGCCACUCUGUGUAGUGCAUUUUGAUCUGUCUGCUCAGUGGCGGCUGGACACAUAAAGGUAGUCAGUAGCCCAGAUAAUUAUGCCUGGCUUGAGGCCAUAAACACCCCGGUGAAUAUUUACAUGCGCCCGGGCAUGUAUACCGGUCCAACUGUACAGGAACACCAGUCAUAAGCAAUC